rnacentral:snRNA from 1 species
UUACUUACAUGGACGGAAUCAAUGAGUGAUCAAAAAGGCCCUACAGACUAGGUGACUGACCUCCACUGCACUUUGGAAGGGUUGUCUGCCUAAGGUCGGCCCAAGUGCCGAGCCUACCUCAUAAUUUGUGGCAGUGGAGGCUUGCAUUCGCGCGACCCCGUU